UUUAUCUGGGGGAUAGCCUUUCGAAAGGAAGAUUAAUACCCCAUAAUAUAUAGAGUGGCAUCACUUUAUAUUGAAAGCUCCGGCGGAUAGAGAUGGGCACGCGCAAGAUUAGAUAGUUGGUGAGGUAACGGCUCACCAAGUCAGUGAUCUUUAGGGGGCCUGAGAGGGUGAUCCCCCACACUGGUACUGAGACACGGACCAGACUCCUACGGGAGGCAGCAGUGAGGAAUAUUGGACAAUGGGUGAGAGCCUGAUCCAGCCAUCCCGCGUGAAGGACGACGGCCCUAUGGGUUGUAAACUUCUUUUGUACAGGGAUAAACCUUUCUACGUGUAGAAAGCUGAAGGUACUGUACGAAUAAGCACCGGCUAACUCCGUGCCAGCAGCCGCGGUAAUACGGAGGGUGCAAGCGUUAUCCGGAUUUAUUGGGUUUAAAGGGUCCGUAGGCGGGCCUGUAAGUCAGUGGUGAAAUCUCACAGCUUAACUGUGAAACUGCCAUUGAUACUGCAGGUCUUGAGUAAAUUUGAAGUGGCUGGAAUAAGUAGUGUAGCGGUGAAAUGCAUAGAUAUUACUUAGAACACCAAUUGCGAAGGCAGGUCACUAAGAUUUAACUGACGCUGAUGGACGAAAGCGUGGGGAGCGAACAGGAUUAGAUACCCUGGUAGUCCACGCCGUAAACGAUGCUAACUCGUUUUUGGUAUUUCGGUAUCAGAGACCAAGCGAAAGUGAUAAGUUAGCCACCUGGGGAGUACGUUCGCAAGAAUGAAACUCAAAGGAAUUGACGGGGGCCCGCACAAGCGGUGGAUUAUGUGGUUUUAAUUCGAUGAUACCCCGAGGAACCUUACCAAGG
rnacentral:rRNA from 1 species